rnacentral:snoRNA from 1 species
AACUAUUACAGUCGAUGAGGAUAGGUUAUAGUUAAGUCAUCCGUUGAAGUAUCUGGCCGUGCUCUCGAUAGGAACUAGUGUCUUUGUCGUGGGGCUGGCGGGCGCUGUGGAUUGCACCGUGGCCUUUCACCACCUUAUAGCGGUGCUUGUGCGUGUACAACUGAGGCUG